GAUGAACGCUAGCGGGAGGCCUAACACAUGCAAGCCGAGCGGUAUGGGUAGCUUGCUACCCAGAGAGCGGCGUACGGGUGCGUAACACGUGUGCAACCUGCCCCUAUCCGGGGGAUAGCCCUCCGAAAGGAGGAUUAAUACCCCAUAAUAUAUCUGGUGGCAUCACUAGAUAUUGAAAACCCCGGUGGAUAGGGAUGGGCACGCGCAAGAUUAGAUAGUUGGCGGGGUAACGGCCCACCAAGUCGAUGAUCUUUAGGGGUCCUGAGAGGGAGAUCCCCCACACUGGUACUGAGACACGGACCAGACUCCUACGGGAGGCAGCAGUGAGGAAUAUUGGACAAUGGGUGGAAGCCUGAUCCAGCCAUCCCGCGUGAGGGACGACGGCCCUAUGGGUUGUAAACCUCUUUUGUACGGGGAUAAACCUAUCUACGUGUAGAUAGCUGAAGGUACCGUACGAAUAAGCACCGGCUAACUCCGUG
rnacentral:rRNA from 1 species